GAGUUUGAUCGUGGCUCAGAUUGAACGCUGGCGGCAUGCCUUACACAUGCAAGUCGAACGGCAGCACGGGAGCAUGCUCCUGGUGGCGAGUGGCGAACGGGUGAGUAAUGCAUCGGAACGUAUCCUGGAGUGGGGGAUAACGUAGCGAAAGUUACGCUAAUACCGCAUAUUCUGUGAGCAGGAAAGCGGGGGACCUUCGGGCCUCGCGCUCUUGGAGCGGCCGAUGUCGGAUUAGCUAGUUGGUGAGGUAAAGGCUCACCAAGGCGACGAUCCGUAGCAGGUCUGAGAGGAUGAUCUGCCACACUGGAACUGAGACACGGUCCAGACUCCUACGGGAGGCAGCAGUGGGGAAUUUUGGACAAUGGGGGCAACCCUGAUCCAGCCAUGCCGCGUGAGUGAAGAAGGCCUCGGUUGUAAG
rnacentral:rRNA from 1 species